rnacentral:rRNA from 1 species
UUCCGGUUGAUCCUGCCGGACCUACUAGCUAUCGGGGUGGGACUAAGACAUGCGAGUCGUGCGUCUCUAGGCUAUGGUAGAGACGCGGCGUACGGCUCAGUAACACGUGGCUAAUCUACCCUUGGGACGGGGGACAACCCCGGGAAACUGGGGCUAAUACCCGAUGGGUGAGGAGGCCUGGAAUGGUUCUCCACCGAAAAGACGCUGAAACCAUGCUUUUCAACGUUGCCUAAGGAUGGGGCCGCGUCCGAUCAGGUUGUUGGUGGGGUAACGGAUCACCAAAGCCUAUAACCGGUACGGGCCGUGAGAGCGGUAGCCCGAGAUGGCACUGAGACACGGCCCAGGCCCUACGGGCGCAGCAGGCGCGAAAACUCCGCAAUACACGAAAGUGUGACGGGGGGACCCCAAGUGCUCUCGCGACAAGCGAGUGCUUUUGUGAAGUGUAAAUAGCUUCAAGAAUAAGAGCUGGGUAAGACCGGUGCCAGCCGCCGCGGUAACACCGGCAGCUCGAGUGGUGAUCACUAUUAUUGGGCCUAAAGCGUCCGUAGCCGGUUUGAUAAGUCCUUGGGCAAAUCCUGCCGCUUAACUGCAGGAAUUCUGGGGAUACUGUCAGACUUGAGGCCGAGAGAGGUCGGAGGUACUUCUGGGGUAGCGGUGAAAUGCUAUAAUCCUAGGGGGACCACCAGUGGCGAAAGCGUCCGACCAGAGCGGGCCUGACGGUAAGGGACGAAAGCCAGGGGAGCGAACGGGAUUAGAUACCCCGGUAGUCCUGGCCGUAAACGCUGUGGGCUAGGUGUUGCAUGCUCUACGAGGGCGUGCAAUGCCGAAGAGAGUUGAUAAGCCUACCGCCUGGGAAGUACUAUCGCAAGAAAUAAACUUAAAGGAAUUGGCGGGGGAGCAC